AGGAAGAGUGUCGAGUAUCCAAGUUCCCCUUGAGAUUUUAAAUAAGCAAAAUAAGCAACAACAAGACAGAGUGUGUUCAAGCGUGCAUUAACUAACAAUAACAGUACAUCAAAUAAUAUGUAAAAAGGCAAAAAAAAAACGCAAAUUCUUACUUUUCGUUAAAUCCAAUCAAACGUAAAUGAAACAAUACAAAAAACAACAAAAUUUGCAUACCCUUGCAAAAGACUUAUUUAAAAAAAAAAAAAAAAACAAAAUCCACAACUAAUGCUGUAAUCAUGAACCAAGUUCAACCUAGCGUUUCCUUACAAUUAAUUUAACCCUACAGGAAAACGAGAAAAAAACAAAAAAAA